rnacentral:rRNA from 1 species
UACGAAGGGUGCAAACGUUGCUCGGAAUUAUUGGGCGUAAAGCGCACGUAGGCGGCUUUGCAAGUCGGAUGUGAAAUCCCUCGGCUUAACCAAGGAAGUGCAUCCGAAACUGCAGAGCUUGAGUACUUAAGAGGAUCGCGGAAUUCCCGGUGUAGAGGUGAAAUUCGUAGAUAUCGGGAGGAACACCAGUGGCGAAGGCGACUUCCUGGCCUGUUCUUGACGCUGAGGCGCGAAAGCUAGGGUAGCAAACGGG